GAAGCCUCCCAGUUAUCUUGGCAAAGAUGCUCACAAGUACACACCCUAAGGUUUUUAAUUCUUAGAUCAAGUGUUCCUACGAUUCAUAUUUAGUUUGUUUUAGUCUCCAAGUAUACAUUAUUGUAUGAAUGGCUUUUUACAAAAAAAAAAGAAAAGUAUACAUCAUUCUUAUAGUGUGUUUGAUUGGAAAUUUGACAAUUUUAUAUAUUAGCAAGGUGCUUUAUAUUCAGUUAAAAGAAGGUUCGAGCUUCAGAAAAUAGUGGCUGCUUUCCUCCACCUUAAAGCUCGAUGAGCAUCUUCUCAGUCGCCUUGUAUCACCUUUAACCGGUACCAUAGUUCCAAGGAUUAUACUUGUCUUUGCUGCCCUUGCGAUCGUGAACCUCUGUCAAUGCUCUCUAUAGAAGACUCUCUGGACUAAAUAAAAUAAAGGAGUCAGGUUCUAGGGAGCUAUGCUUCUUGAGUUCGAAGCAAAGAAAGAAGUCAGGUUUUUCUGAGCGACUCAGGACAAGCUGUUCCACAGCUAUAUCACUGGCAUAUAAGGCAUCCAGAGAGUCACAGACAAGUCCAAUACUUUUUCAUCAGGGUUCUCAAUACCAGUCAUGACACGCAUCCUUGACUUCACGGAAUCAGAAGGCUAAUUGUGGUUUUGUCUCUCUUCUCUUAUUGCAGACAAACUAACACAGAAGGUCACUGAAGCAGUUGAGUUCAUUGUUGUUUCACAACACUUCUCCAACACUGAUCAUGAUGAGGAUGACAGCCAAAGCUCCAACUCACAAACAUCAGUCACACCUUCUAUGCGAGAUAGGCAUUUUCCACGGUAGAUGUUCAAUAAUUUUGUUUCUGUUUCGUUUUUAUUUGCUUUUGUUCUUAAGUUUUUUUGUAAACAUUUGAUUAGUCCUAUAUGGUGUAAUGACACUAUGAUAUUGUUAUGCUAAUCUUAAAUAUUUGGUCA